rnacentral:rRNA from 1 species
UGAGGAAUAUUGCGCAAUGGGGGCAACCCUGACGCAGCGACGCCGCGUGAGUGAGGAAGGCCUUCGGGUCGUAAAGCUCUGUCAAAGGGAAAGAAAUGCAUAAUGGCUAAUACCUGUUAUGUUUGACGGUACCCUUAAAGGAAGCACCGGCUAACUCCGUGCCAGCAGCCGCGGUAAUACGGAGGGUGCAAGCGUUGUUCGGAAUUACUGGGCGUAAAGGGCGCGUAGGCGGUGUGAUAAGUCAGAUGUGAAAGCCCGCGGCUUAACGGUGGAAGGGCAUUUGAAACUGGCAGACUUGAGUACCAGAGGGGAAAGUGGAAUUCCCGGUGUAGAGGUGAAAUGCGUAGAUAUCGGGAGGAAUACCGGUGGCGAAGGCGACUUUCUGGCUGGAUACUGACGCUGAGGCGCGAAAGCGUGGGGAGCAAACA